AUUCUUUUGUAGUUUAUAAGCCUGAUGAUUGGGUUUUCAUGUGCAUGUGUGAGAUGUGCCUCCCGCAAACCUUGUUACGACGUUGGCACAUUACCCAUCUGAUG
ensembl:snoRNA